CUGCAUUUCCCGAAACAAAGAUGUUUUCAACGUUAUUCACCAUCGCAACACGGAUUGUACUGUCAAGUGGUACAUCUGACUCAUGGGUGCCCUCUGGCGAUCUUCCCGUGGACUUCACCGUCACGUUCACAGCGCCGGAAACGGUGUAUAACGUCUGCAAUCGUAACUUUACCCAAAGUGCCAGGACUGUUUCUAUCGCCACCACGGGAGUCGUGAUCACUCCUGGUGAAGCUGCAAACGCUCCAACCAUGACUAUCACAGGUGCAUCGUCAG